rnacentral:tRNA from 1 species
CGGGAUGUAGCUCAGGCGGUUAGAGUACGCGUCUGGGGGGCGUGUGGUCGCAAGUUCGAAUCUUGUCAUCCCGA